AUUGAACGCUGGCAGCAGGCCUAACACAUGCAAGUCGAGCGGAUGAAGGGAGCUUGCUCCUGGAUUCAGCGGCGGACGGGUGAGUAAUGCCUAGGAAUCUGCCUGGCAGUGGGGGAUAACGUCCGGAAACGGGCGCUAAUACCGCAUACGUCCUGAGGGAGAAAGUGGGGGAUCUUCGGACCUCACGCUAUCAGAUGAGCCUAGGUCGGAUUAGCUAGUUGGUGGGGUAAAGGCCUACCAAGGCGACGAUCCGUAACUGGUCUGAGAGGAUGAUCAGUCACACUGGAACUGAGACACGGUCCAGACUCCUACGGGAGGCAGCAGUGGGGAAUAUUGGACAAUGGGCGAAAGCCUGAUCCAGCCAUGCCGCGUGUGUGAAGAAGGUCUUCGGAUUGUAAAGCACUUUAAGUUGGGAGGAAGGGCAGUAAGUUAAUACCUUGCUGUUUUGACGUUACCAACAGAAUAAGCACCGGCUAACUUCGUG
rnacentral:rRNA from 1 species